UGUAUAAUAGCUCAGUGGUAGAGUACUUGCCUGGCAUGCAUGAGGUCCUUUGUUCAA
rnacentral:tRNA from 1 species